rnacentral:rRNA from 1 species
UACAGAGGUCUCAAGCGUUGUUCGGAUUCAUUGGGCGUAAAGGGUGUGUAGGUGGCGCCGUAAGUCGGGGUGUGAAAUUUCGGAGCUUAACUCCGAAACUGCAUUCGAUACUGCGGUGCUUGAGGACUGGAGAGGAGACUGGAAUUCAUGGUGUAGCAGUGAAAUGCGUAGAGAUCAUGAGGAAGACCAGUGGCGAAGGCGGGUCUCUGGACAGUUCCUGACACUGAGACACGAAGGCCAGGGGAGCAAAACGGGG